GUGGGGAAUAUUGCACAAUGGGCGCAAGCCUGAUGCAGCCAUGCCGCGUGUAUGAAGAAGGCCUUCGGGUUGUAAAGUACUUUCAGCGGGGAGGAAGGCGGUGAGGUUAAUAACCUUGCCGAUUGACGUUACCCGCAGAAGAAGCACCGGCUAACUCCGUGCCAGCAGCCGCGGUAAUACGGAGGGUGCAAGCGUUAAUCGGAAUUACUGGGCGUAAAGCGCACGCAGGCGGUCUGUUAAGUCAGAUGUGAAAUCCCCGGGCUUAACCUGGGAACUGCAUUUGAAACUGGCAAGCUAGAGUCUCGUAGAGGGGGGUAGAAUUCCAGGUGUAGCGGUGAAAUGCGUAGAGAUCUGGAGGAAUACCGGUGGCGAAGGCGGCCCCCUGGACGAAGACUGACGCUCAGGUGCGAAAGCGUGGGGAGCAA
rnacentral:rRNA from 1 species